UAUUCAAAUAAUUUAAAUUAAGAAUGUAAUUUUGAAGUAAUUAAAGUAGAUAAAU
rnacentral:tRNA from 1 species